AUGAAAUUAACUCAUUUGAAUCUGGGAUACAAUGAAAUAACUGAACUCUCUCCAGAAGACUUUAUGGGAUGGGGGGAAUACAUCGAUGUACUGCUCCUCCAAAACAACCACAUAUUAAGAUUAGAAAGCAACUUAUUCAAAUAUACUCCUCAUCUAAGAGAGUUGAGCUUGUCCUUCAACAGAUUGAUUGAUAUUGACCCGUAUGCUUUCACAAAUGUAGUGAAUAGCCUAGAAAACUUAGAGAUAAGCUUUGGUCUUUACAGAGAUGAUUUCCCCGAAGAGGUCAUAUCAAAAUUAUCGUCACUUGUUUGGCUAUCUUUGGAUAACAAUAACCUUAGAUAUAUACCACCGAAUUCCUUGGGUAAUCUAAGGAAGCUGCAAUAUUUAAAUCUUGAUUCUAACUGGUUUACUUCGAUACCUAGAGGACUAUUCAACAGCAGCGUGCACAGUAACCUGCGAGACAUCCGCCUCUCCUACAAUCACGUAAAAAAGCUUGAUCCUUUUACAUUUUUCAAUUUGUGGAAUCUUCAAACGGUAGUUUUCAUAUCAAACAACAUCAGGACAGUUCACUCAAACGCGUUUGUCACCUUGCCGAAACUGUCAACUGUGAUCCUGUCACAAAACAGGAUCAGCACUUUACACCGGAAGUGCUUCCGAAAUCUUCCUAGCAUGAGGAAACUUGACUUGCAGCUAAACGAAAUGAGAGAAUUUUCCUUGAACGCGUUUGAAAACGUGACAUCAUACGGAAGUCUGUCUUUGAAUAUUUCAAGGAAUGAGAUAAGUUUACUUACAUUUGAUAACAGCACUGCAGAUAUAAAAAUUAAGGUAUUGGAUGUAAGUCAUAAUAGGUUGAGUGAAGUACCGAUUACAUUUUUGAAUUUCAUGUCGAAUUCUCUAACCAGGUUAAACCUUGGAUACAAUUUGAUAUAUCAGAUCAGUCCUUUCAGUUUUGCUAACCUGACUCUGCUGGAAGUGCUGGAAUUGGAGCAUAACGGGAUAGUCAGCGUGAGAAGGAAGGCAUUCUUCGGACUCAGUAAUUUACAGAUUUUGGAUUUAUCACACAAUCACAUACAGUCACUACAGGUCUCACAGUUUGUCAGCUGUCCAAAUCUUCGGGUUGUCGAUUUGUCCUUCAACCACAUCAGAGCCUUACCCAGAGACACGUUUCAGAAUACGAGGAUAGAACGACUGGUGCUUUCCAACAACCAGUUUAUAGUGUUCCCGAGUCAGGCUCUCGGAGAGAUAGGGUUUACUAUGAGACACCUUGACCUAUCCUGUAAUUUCAUCGACCGUGUUGACAGCACGAUGUUUUACGAGACCCAGUUCCUCACCAGUCUGAACCUUUGCCACAACAAGAUCAACAUAUUGCCCGACAACGUAUUUACGAGUCUCGGGAACCUCUUGAGGCUGGAUCUCUGCAGAAAUCCACUAACUGCCAAUUUCAAGGAACUUCUCCACUACAUACCAAAACUUCGUUACCUCAACCUCGCUCAGACUGGGAUGAAAUCUUCACCUCUGUUGCCUCUUCCCAAGCUCACACACUUAAAUCUCUCAGGAAACGUCCUUGAAAACCUACCGACAAGUUCUGUGGAAGGAUUGGCGAAUUUAAGGACUUUGAACCUACGUGGAAACAGGCUGACCAGUAUUCCAUCCAAUUGUUGGUCCAAUCUUCCCAUGCUCAAGCAUCUGGAUAUUUCCCUCAACCCUAUCAAAGUGAUUACCUCAGAUAGCUUCCUAGGCCUUCAGACACUGGAUUCUCUGAAUCUGAAGCAACUCUAUCGCCUAGAAAGAUUUGAUGCCGGAUCGUUGUCAGAACUGAAAGUGCUCACUUCUCUGGAGCUCCAGAGCUGACGAUGGUUACGGCAGAAAGGGUUCCAGGUAUCAUCCAUUCUGCAAGGAGUGACCUCUCUCAGGAGACUUUCCCUAGAAGUGCUCGAGGAAACUUUGUCAGACCAGCUUCAUGGUCUGACCUUGCCACACCUUCGACACCUAACGAUCUCCGGGCAGACGCUCAUGUUCUUGGAGCCAGGGGCGCUAUCG